rnacentral:rRNA from 1 species
UGCGAAGGGGGCUAGCGUUGCUCGGAAUCACUGGGCGUAAAGGGUGCGUAGGCGGGUCUUUAAGUCAGGGGGGAAAUCCCGGGGCUCAACCUCGGAACUGCCUUUGAUACUGCAAAUCUCGAGUCCGGAAGAGGUGAGUGGAAUUCCUAGUGUAGAGGUGAAAUUCGUAGAUAUUAGGAAGAACACCAGUGGCGAAGGCGGCUCACUGGUCCGGUACUGACGCUGAGGUGCGAAAGCGUGGGGAGCAAACAGG